GACGAACGCUGGCGGCGUGCUUAACACAUGCAAGUCGAACGGAAAGGCCCUGCUUUUGUGGGGUGCUCGAGUGGCGAACGGGUGAGUAACACGUGAGUAACCUGCCCUUGACUUUGGGAUAACUUCAGGAAACUGGGGCUAAUACCGGAUAGGAGCUCCUGCUGCAUGGUGGGGGUUGGAAAGUUUCGGCGGUUGGGGAUGGACUCGCGGCUUAUCAGCUUGUUGGUGGGGUAGUGGCUUACCAAGGCUUUGACGGGUAGCCGGCCUGAGAGGGUGACCGGCCACAUUGGGACUGAGAUACGGCGCAGACUCCUACGGGAGGCAGCAGUGGGGAAUAUUGCACAAUGGGCGGAAGCCUGAUGCAGCAACGCCGCGUGCGGGAUGACGGCCUUCGGGUUGUAAACCGCUUUCGCCUGUGACGAAGCGUGAGUGACGGUCAUGGGUAAAGAAGCACCGGCUAACUACG
rnacentral:rRNA from 1 species